UAAAGUGUCAAGCAGGCAGACCAAUUNGUUUACACCGAAUACAUUAGCAUGGNCAUAAUGGAUUAGGACCCUGUCCUCCUAUUAUUCAGUUGGUUUUGGCAGCGCGAGGACUAGGGUAAUGAUUAAUAGGGAUAGUUGGGGGACAUAUAAUAUUAUAAUUGUCAGAGGUGAAAUUCUUGGAUUUAUGAAAGAUUAACUUCUGCGAAAGCAUCUGCCAAGGAUGUUUUCACUUAAUCAAGAACGACAGUUAGGGGAUCGACAGACGAUCACGAUACCGUCGUAGUCUUAACCAUAAACGAUGCCGACCAGCGAUUAGGAGACGUUGAAUAACAAAACACCACCAUCGGCGCGGUCGUCCUUGGCGUCUGUCCCUUUCAACGGGGGCAGGCGACGAGGGCGGUUUAGCCCGGUGGCACCGGUAGAAUGACUCCCCU
rnacentral:rRNA from 1 species